AUUAGUGAGUCUAUCUAUCUGCUGUACUGUAGGGGGACCUCAAGGACCACAAAUACUCAGUUACACUUUUGAUCAGAAGCCACACAAUAUAUGACACUCCCACCUGCAACUCUUUAUCUCUGUGACUACACUGACAGUUUUCUGACUUUCUGAACAUGGACAACAUCAAACACGGUCUCAUCAGCUUGUUACUAUUUCUGCUCUGCAUAAACGGUCUUAUUGAUGGGAGUGAUGUCUCCCAGACUGACAUACUUUGGAAAGACCAGGGCGACAAUGCAACAAUGAACUGCAGUCACACCAAGGGUGCUGACUACUACCAGAUGUACUGGUACAGACAGCUGCCAGGAGAAACAAUGAAACUAAUAGUGUUCACAAGACUCGGCAACAACAAUCAUGAUUUUGGAGAUUUCAGCAAAGAGAAAUUCUCAGCCACCAAGCCUGACGCUGAGAGUGGGACAUUCACAGUGAAGAAUCUGGAGCCAGAAGAUAAAGGCUUGUAUUUCUGUGCUGUGAGUCAGCCCCACAGUGGCACAAUUAACCUGCAAGGCUGA